AGCGAACGCUGGCGGCAGGCCUAACACAUGCAAGUCGAACGAACCUUCCGGGGUUAGUGGCGGACGGGUGCGUAACACGUGGGAACGUGCCUUUAGGCUCGGAAUAACUCAGGGAAACUUGUGCUAAUAUCGAAUGAGUCCCUCGGGGGAAAGAUUAGUCGGCGUUAGAGCGGCCCGCGCCUGUUUAGCUUGUUGGUUGUGGUAAUGGCGCACUAUGGCGACGAUCUGUAGCUGGUAUGAGAGGAUGAACAGCCACAUUGGGACUGGGACACGGCCCACACUCCUGCGGGAGGCGGGAAAGGGGAAUCUAGCGCAAUGGGCGAGAGCCUGACGCAGCCAGGGCGGGAGAAUGAUGAAGGUCUUAGAAUAGUAAAAUAGUUUCACCGGGGACGAUAAUGACGGUACCCGGAGAAGAAGCCCCGGCUAACUUCGUG
rnacentral:rRNA from 1 species